AGAAAGUAGUGGCUGAGACACAUACGCCCCCCAUGCAACAAAGAAUGUUAAAGAAGAUUUUGUUUGCAGUUCCAUUAUUGUCAGCUGGUUCUCUAAAAGGCCUCAAGGAUGAGGAACAAUCGAUCUUGAAACAGGGUAACAACGACUCCUGCACGAAAAAUGCCACACUUGACAAAUUAAAAGAAAAUGAAAAAUUUAUGGCCCUUAAGUCGAUGUUACCUUCACUUAAUGAGGUACUUCCAGCUAUUUUCUGUAAAAUUUGUUUGAAUUUGAAAUGGAAUUUGCAAGUUCCUAAGCAUAUACAUUGUUUUGAUAUUGGCUUGAAUCGUAUUUUCUUCUAUCUGAAAUUUUAAUUCUUUUAAGCAGAUCAACAAAGUAUCGAUACUCAACGAUACAAUCAAAUAUCUGAAGAUGCUUGAAGCAAGAGUACAGGAGUUAGAAACUUGCAUGGAUUCGUUAUAUUAUGAAGAAAGAUUCAGAAGGAAAUAUCUUGACAUGGUGGAGCAGACUUCAGAUAACUAUGACUAUGAGAAGAUUGAAGGCAGCUUAAAACCUUCAACGAACAAGAGAAAAGCCUGUGAAAUGGAUGAAACUGACCUGAAGCUGAAGAAUGAUUUUCCCAAAGUUGGACGUAAGCUAGAUGUGAAAGUCAGCAUGGAAGAGCAUGAAGUUCUCGUUGACAUGCACUGUCCAUAUCGAGAAUAUAUAUUGGUCGAUGUCAUGGAUGCUUUGAACGAUUUGCAACU
rnacentral:lncRNA from 1 species